rnacentral:rRNA from 2 species
GGGGGAUAUUGCACAAUGGGGGAAACCCUGAUGCAGCGACGCCGCGUGGAGGAAGAAGGUUUUCGGAUUGUAAACUCCUGUCGUUAGGGACGAUAAUGACGGUACCUAACAAGAAAGCACCGGCUAACUACGUGCCAGCAGCCGCGGUAAAACGUAGGGUGCAAGCGUUGUCCGGAAUUACUGGGUGUAAAGGGAGCGCAGGCGGGAAGACAAGUUGGAAGUGAAAACCAUGGGCUCAACCCAUGAAUUGCUUUCAAAACUGUUUUUCUUGAGUAGUGCAGAGGUAGAUGGAAUUCCCGGUGUAGCGGUGGAAUGCGUAGAUAUAAGGAAGAACACCAGUGGCGAAGGCGGAUAACUGGACGGCAACUGACGGUGAGGCGCGAAAGCGUGGGGAGCAAACAGGAUUAGAUACCCUGGUAGUCCACGCUGUAAACGAUGGAUACUAGGUGUGCGGGGACUGACCCCCUGCGUGCCGCAGUUAACACAAUAAGUAUCCCACCUGGGGAGUACGAUCGCAAGGUUGAAACUCAAAGGAAUUGACGGGGGCCCGCACAAGCGGUGGAUUAUGUGGUUUAAUUCGAAGCAACGCGAAGAACCUUACCAGGGCUUGACAUCCUACUAACGAAGUAGAGAUACAUUAGGUGCCCUUCGGGGAAAGUAGAGACAGGUGGUGCAUGGUUGUCGUCAGCUCGUGUCGUGAGAUGUUGGGUUAAGUCCCGCAACGAGCGCAACCCCUAUUGUUAGUUGCUACGCAAGAGCACUCUAGCGAGACUGCCGUUGACAAAACGGAGGAAGGUGGGGACGACGUCAAAUCAUCAUGCCCCUUAUGUCCUGGGCUACACACGUAAUACAAUGGCGGUCAACAGAGGGAGGCAAAGCCGCGAGGCAGAGCAAACCCCAAAAAGCCGUCCCAGUUCGGAUCGCAGGCUGCAACCCGCCGGCGGGAAGUGGGAAUCGCUGGUAAUCGCGGAUCAGCAUGCCGCGGGGAAUACGUUCCCG